rnacentral:rRNA from 1 species
AUACGGAGGAUCCAAGCGUUAUCCGGAAUCAUUGGGUUUAAAGGGUCCGUAGGCGGGUUUGUAAGUCAGUGGUGAAAGUUUUCGGCUCAACCGGAAAAUUGCCAUUGAUACUGCAGGUCUUGUAUUAUUGUGAAGUGAUUAGAAUGUGUAGUGUAGCGGUGAAAUGCAUAGAUAUUACACAGAAUACCGAUUGCGAAGGCAGAUCACUAACAAUAUAUUGACGCUAAGGGACGAAAGCGUGGGUAGCGAACAGGAUUAGAUACCCUAGUAGUCC